rnacentral:rRNA from 1 species
AUCGCGACCCCAGGUCAGGC